UGGCCUUUUCACUUCAAGUUUAGAAAACUGUAAUUUUGGCUCGUAUAGACCUCGUAAUGUCUACACUUAAAAGACUCAGUUCCUGGUCUCAAAAUGGUGCUACAACGUAUAAGGAAAUGUUGUGUUGUGUAAAACACGAUAAGGCUCAUUAUUAACAUCUAUAAAGCUCAGAGGAAGAUUGCUUUUCAUCAUAUUUUCACUGAUAAGGUUGUGAGGAGAUUUCUCAUCAGAAACCUUGGAGGCUAGAAGGCAUGGGUUGAUGUGUUGAAAGCAUUGAAGGAAAAAAGCUGUCAACCAAGAAUCCUACAUUUGGGAAAACUGUCCUUCAAAAAUGAGGAAGAAAUGAAGACAUUCUCAGAUCGACCAAAGCUGAAAGCCUUGCCCUGAUGACUAGACCGGCCCUGCAGUGAAGGGGGUCCUUCAGGUUGAAAUGAAAGGGCACUGAACAAGUAACUCGAAGCCUUCUGAAGAAAUAAUCUCCGGUAAAAAGCCUGGCGUGGGGCUCAAACCCACACACCGUGAGAUCAUGACCUGAGCUAAAACCAAGAGUCAGACACUUAACCAUCUAAGCCACCCAGGUGCCCAACCUCAAGAUUUGAAAAACUCAACAAAUGCCGCCUGUUAAAUACCUGACUGCUUGCACCAUAGCCCUAACUUUGGGAUCCCACCUGAAUCACCACCUCCUGAAAUGAAGUACAACUGUUUAACUGAACAGACUUAUUCUCAGGACUAAGAGACUGGUUCAGUGAGAUGGAGCCAUCUAACAACUCAACUUCAGGAUUGUGAAACUUCUUGGGGAAGUUUCCAAGGUGGAACUGAGGGGAAGAGCAAAUUACGUGACCCCCAAAUACGUCAUUUUGUCUUGUGGGUUAUUUUGAGCUGAAGGCAGACUCAAGAAAAACUUUUAGUUCUCCCUAAUCACCUAAAAGAAUUUAGAUAGGGGACCUGGCCCAGAAAGAGAGCUAUUAUUAGAGAUAAAUUUUUACUUGAAAGACCUAUCUGGAUGGCAGGGCAAACAUUCUUCUUAUUGUCCUGUCACCCACCUUCCCUUUGAAGCCCCAGGUCCCUAUCCCAUUCCUUCAUUCAGUAUGGCACGUAAGCCUCAUCUGAUGGUCUUGUCUUUGGGUCUCAUAUUCUGAUGGGACUUCUGUGUGUAUGUCAUUAAAUGUUUUCCUCCUGUUAACCUGUUUUAUAUCAACUUACCAGCCAAAGAACCUAGAAGGGUAAAGGAGGAAUUCUUCCUCCCAAUGUAACAAAUAUUUGUUCUUUCAUCUUUUUGGCUCAUUUUGCUUUGUGUACUUCCCUCAUGGUUCAUCGGUCUUCUAGCAUGUGUCAGAAUUUCCUUCCUUUUUAAGGAUGAGUAAUAUUCUAUAAUAUUGUAGGCAUAUGCUAAAUUUUGUUCAUCCAUUCAUUCACUGAUGGACAAUUCAGUUAUUUCCAUCUUUUGGCUCUUGUGAAUAAUACUGUUAUGAACAGUGGUGUACAAAUAUUUGUGUGAAUACCUGCUUUCAGUUCUUUGGGUAUAUACUCAUAAGUGGGAUUGCUGAACCAUAUGGUAAUUCUAUGUUUAAAUUUGGACGAAGUCUAAUUUAUCUAUUUUUUCUUUUGUUGCUUGUGCCUUUUGUUUCAUAUCCAUAAAACCAUCAUCAAAUCCACUGUCAUGAAACUCUUGUCCUGUAUUUUUUACUAAGAGUUUUAUAGUUUUACUUCUUACAUUUAAGUCUUUGAUCCACAGUGUGUAGAUUUUAUUAUGCACUAAAUUAGUGAUCUUUUAAAAAAUAUAAACCCGGAGUGCCUGGGUGGCUCAGUCGGUUGAGCAUCGGACUCUUCAUUUCGGCUCAGGUAGUGGUCUCAUGGUUCGUGGGUUCAAUCCCUGAGUCGGGCUCUGUGCUGACAGUACAGACCCUGCUUUGGAUUCUCUCUCCUUCUUCCUCUCUCUCUUCUCCUCCCCUGCUCAC